rnacentral:rRNA from 1 species
GUGAACGAGCGACGCCGCGUGCAGGAUGAAGGCCUUCGGGUUGUAAACUCCUGUCGGAGGGGAAGAAGGGGGCCUCACGGCCCCUUGACUGAUCCUCGGAGGAAGCACGGGCUAAGUUCGUGCCAGCAGCCGCGGUAAGACGAACCGUGCGAACGUUAUUCGGAAUCAUUGGGCUUAAAGCGCGUGUAGGCGGGUGGGCGCGUCGGUCGCUGAAAGCCCCCGGCUCAACCGGGGGAGGGGCGCCGAAACGGCCCGCCUUGAGGGGCGUAGGGGGAUCUGGAACUUCCGGUGGAGCGGUGAAAUGCGUUGAGAUCGGAAGGAACGCCCGUGGCGAAAGCGAGGUCCUGGACGCCUACUGACGCUGAGACGCGAAAGCCAGGGGAGCGAACGGGAUUAGAUACCCCGGUAGUCCUGGCCGUAAACGAU